AAUAUCCAAAAUUAAAAAAAAAAUUAGACUAUAAUUUUAUAAAUAUAUAACUAAUGAUGAGUUCUUUUUUUGUUGGAAACUAAUUAUGUGUUUCACAAUUUUUAAUUGUUUUAAUUUUAAUACAAAAAGUCAAAAACACUUUCAAAAAAAAAUUUAAUACAAUAACAAGAAAGGUGAUUUAUGCCCAACCCAGGUCCACCAGCCCGCUCAAAAUCAAGAAGAUUCUACUACAUUGGACGACAUUGACACUUUUAUACUGUGGGACCCAAAGUCUGAGUCUACUCCCACAAUGGCAGUCAUUCCGUCGUGCCUCUGUACGGCAUUGCCGUCACCACUUCUCCUCCGCCUCCUCCCGGAAAACUCAUCACGGUCACGGUGGUUUCCGCCGGUAAAAGCAUGUUUGGUUGCAAAGAGAGGUGGUGAUAUUCCUCCCACUGCAGCAGCUUCAGCCAUAGCGUACCCUGCUCUCACCUACUCAACCACACUUUACUUCAAAUCAACUUACAACGUGAAGAUCACAGUGCACGACGACGAGCCUGAAGACAAGCUCAUCAAUCGCUUCCGGAGAGAGGUCCGGAAGGCCGGUGUGAUUCAGGAGUACCGCCGGAGAAUGUACUUCGAGAACAAACGGGAUAAGAUCAAGAGGAAAGCCCGAGAAGCUUCCAGAAGAAACCGAAAGAGGAAACCAUGGACAAAAUUUCCAGAAGAUAAUAAAGAUGAAUCUGGUAAGAAGGGGGAGUUUGAUGAUGAAGAUGAUAAUUGGGACCUUCCAGAUGUAGAUAUUCCAUAUUGUUGAAGCUCAAAAGUAGAAGCAUGUAUAUUGUAUAUACAUCUCUUCCAUUAGUUCUGACUUCAUUGCCAAAUCUCAUCACAUGAAGCUGGUAUUCUCACUUCACUGGUAGCAGAGUAGAAGAAGGGAACUCACAGGGGGUUGUAAUGAGGGAGACUCAGAGAAUGUUGCUGUUUGGGCUUUGGAAAAGAAGUUCACCAGGAAAAUUAGUAGCUUUAUUUUGUUGAAUUCCUUCGAGGUGAAGAGGAAACUGAAAGCAGGGCUAAUAACCUGGAACUUCCUAAUGCUAUUAAUGUUGAAUUAUCUUUCAGUAAGUGAAUUAUCUUUCAAAAUCAGCCAGCAAUCAGGUUCUUGGUCAAAAGAACAAAAGUACAAAACUAAUACCUGAUAGUGGAGGAACAAAAUCUCUUCACUUGGAUUCUUGUUAAGCUAUCUAGGGAGGCUCCAAUACAUGCCGCUCCUCUGUCAUCUGUCACCCAUGAUUUUAAUUAGCUAGAACUGUAGUGGAGUUUCGCCCCCGACAAUUUGGGAGUAUAAGCACUUAUGUAAAGCUUGUAAACCUUUUUUACUUUUCCUGAUUGAAUCCAAAAUAAAUAAAACAGAUCACCUCAAGGUUGAUCUGAAGUUUGAUUGUGCUUUUGGAGUUGAUGCUGGUAGUUUGUCACUUUGUCUGGGCAUUUGUCUACUUUAGAGGAAACAAAUUAUAAAAGUAACAUAUCUUUUAGCUUUGGAUUUUGCAACUACAGUCUCAAUACAUUGUAAAUGUAAUGCAUCUUGUUUUAACUACAGAACAAUUACUCCAAAAGUUAAGAAAUAAUAGGUGGGAGUCAUUGUUUGACAAUGUCACAACAUUUUGUAUUAGCAAUGUUAUUGAUAUUCCUAGUUUGAAUAGUUAGCAAUGUAAGAGCUCGAGCUCAAACUGGUGCAGGACAUCCUGAACCUAUCUACGAAGAUUCACAGAGCUACCUUCCUUUUUACCCCUCGUGAGGCAAAUGUCUGCGCUGACAAACUAGCUAAGUGGGGACAUAGUGUCACUGAUUUUGUCUUUGAUUGUGAAAAUGCCCUUCCUUGGCUCAUUCCUUGCUUAAGGAAAGAUGUAAGAGGUGUUAGUACCUCUAGGCUCCUUUAGUUCUCUUGGGCUUUUAGCCCUCCACAUUAGCAAAAAAAAAAAAGAGAGCUCGAGGUGAGCCUUGUCAUAAAAUUGAGGACACUCAUGUAAC